GGGGACGUUCUUGGAUUCGACAGGGGUCCCCGAGCUUAUUAAGCGUGUCGGAGGGUUGGCUCCGUCAUCAACACAUUUCGGUUAAAUAUAACUGACAAAUCAAACAAUAAUUUCGCAGUAGCUGCGUAAUAGCCACUGCAUCGCCUAACAGCAUCUCCUACGUGCUGUUAACGCGAUUCAACCCUAGUAGGAUAUGCUAUUGCUUAGCAUGAUGCGAAAAUUAUCAAUAAACUACACACGUAGAAAGAUUUGUAUCAGGACCUCUGGACGCGGGUUCGAAUCCCGCCGUCUCCAUUA
rnacentral:tmRNA from 1 species